AACGCACAUUGCGCCCUCUGGUAUUCCGGAGGGCAUGCCUGUUCGAGCGUCAUAAUGACCAACUCACCCUUGUGGUGGACUUGGAGCUGGCCGGUCUGGCCUCUCUCAAAACCAGUGGCGGUGCUCUUAAGCUCUACGCGUAGUAAUUUCUCUCGCGACAGGGUCUUGAUGGUGCUUGCCAACAACCCCAACUCUAAUAAGGUUGACCUCGGAUCAGGUAGGGAUACCCGCUGAACUUAA
rnacentral:misc_RNA from 1 species